rnacentral:rRNA from 1 species
AUGAACGCUAGCGGCAGGCUUAAUACAUGCAAGGUCGAGGGGUAGCAAGAUUGUAGCAAUACAAUUGUUGACGACCGGCAAACGGGUGCGGAACACGUACACAACCUUCCUACAAGUGGGGAAUAGCCCAGAGAAAUUUGGAUUAAUACCCCGUAACAUAGCGAUGUGGCAUCACAUUGCUAUUAUAGCUUCGGCGCUUGUUGAUGGGUGUGCGGCUGAUUAGAUAGUUGGCGGGGUAACGGCCCACCAAGUCUACGAUCAGUAGCUGAUGUGAGAGCAUGAUCAGCCACACGGGCACUGAGACACGGGCCCGACUCCUACGGGAGGCAGCAGUAAGGAAUAUUGGACAAUGGACGCAAGUCUGAUCCAGCCAUGCCGCGUGAAGGAUUAAGGUCCUCUGGAUUGUAAACUUCUUUUAUAAGGGACGAAAAAAGGUCUUUCUAGAUCGUCUGACGGUACCUUAUGAAUAAGCACCGGCUAACUCCGUG